AUGUUUAACCUUAGUCUAGAUUAAAGACGGUAAGAGAAGUAUUUGCACGGCGUGCUUGUAGAGAACAACGUACUAGCGUAGAAUUUCUUCGUAACUGUAAUUUUCACUCGAGUAAAAAGAUUCGACGAUUUUCUAUUGAUAUUGUGAGAGGACAAAGGAAAGUUUUCUUCCUUAUCUUCUUUUUCUGUUUUUUUUUUGUUUUGUUUAUGAAACGAUAGUAAAAAUAAAUUGACGAACCUCGAUGUUGAUUUAUUUUGUCGCAUUAUAUAAAAUUAAUAUUUUUAGAUUAAAAUCGAAUAUUUUUCUUGAAAAUGAUUAUCUCUCAAACGAAGGAAUAUUUUCAAUUAAAUUGAAUUGAAAUAAAGAAAGGAAAAAAUAAGAGAAAUGAAUGGAGAAAGAAAUGAAUCAAUGAAAAAUUAUCAAACGGAGAAUCUUACGAAAAAUUCGGAUCAGUAUAUUUUAUCUGCGAAAAAAAAAAAAAAAAAAAGAAAGAAAAAAAGAAAAAAAAGAAAAAAAAAGAGAGAAAAAGAAAGAAAAGAUAAAAAGAAAGAAACCGUGCUCAUCUCGAUUACCAAUAAGAUUUGAGAGAUUAAAAGAAAGGACGUAGAUAAUUGUUCGAACCGCGAAUGGAAGUAAAAGCGGUCGGACAAUAUCGCACGACGGGAAUUUAAUAAAGGAUUAAGCGAAUGUCGCUGUAUGGCAAUAAGAAAGAACAAGUUGAUAAAUUAAAAAAACAAUGUUGAUAACUUGAAGACAAUAAGUUGAAAAUGGUCCUGUGACCUGAGUCAAUGAUACGAAAAUGUUAUAUAACUUUACCAAUAGUUCACGAUUUGAAAAUUGCAUUAUAAAUGAUAGUAUGCAUCAAGUGAUGAUUUCACUAUCAUGUUUCAUUUUACAUAAAACAAUCACAAUAUCUAUGGUUUAAAUGAAAAUAAAUAAUGCAUUUAACAAAAAUCUCAAGUGGUGUAUUCGUAUUUGUUUCAAUGUAUUAUGGAAUUCGAGAACAUUGUUAAUUGUGAAACAUAACACGAAGCUCUGAAACAUUUCAAAUUAAAAUGUAAAUAAUGUAAUCUAUCUGGUGUAUACGACUUUAGCAACAGAUAUGAUCAAACUAUGAACUACGAAUGGAAUAGAAAAACAAUAUCCCCAUUAGCUUAUAACCGAUUCACGUAUAAUAUGACAUUCGAGUUAGUUUUAUAGAAAUUUUUCUAAUAAAUAUAACAAUAGAUUUGAUAAAAGCAAGAAAAAAAGCAUAUGACAAAUUAUAAUUUUUCGAAGAUAAAUUAAUCUAAGAAGUGUUCGUAA